rnacentral:rRNA from 1 species
CCUGGCUAGGACGAACGCUGGCGGCGUGCCUAACACAUGCAAGUCGAGCGAUGAAGUCUCGGAACGGAUUAGCGGCGGACGGGUGAGUAACACGUGGGUAACCUGCCUUGUAGAGGGGGAUAGCCUUCCGAAAGGAAGAUUAAUACCGCAUAACAUCUUUUUAUCGCAUGGUAGAAAGAUCAAAGGAGUAAUCCGCUACAAGAUGGACCCGCGGCGCAUUAGCUAGUUGGUGAGGUAACGGCUCACCAAGGCGACGAUGCGUAGCCGACCUGAGAGGGUGAUCGGCCACAUUGGAACUGAGACACGAUCCAGACUCCUACGGGAGGCAGCAGUGGGGAAUAUUGCGCAAUGGGGGGAAAAACCCCUGACGCAGCAACGCCGCGUGAAUGAAGAAGGCCUUAGGGUUGUAAAGUUCUGUUUACGGGGACGAUAAUGACGGUACCCGUGGAGGAAGCCACGGCUAACUACGUGCCAGCAGCGGC